rnacentral:rRNA from 1 species
GACGAACGCUGGCGGCGUGCUUAACACAUGCAAGUCGAACGCUGAAGCUCAGCUUUUGUUGGGUGGAUGAGUGGCGAACGGGUGAGUAACACGUGAGUAACCUGCCCCCUUCUUUGGGAUAACGCCCGGAAACGGGUGCUAAUACUGGAUAUUCACUUGCCUUCGCAUGGGGGUUGGUGGAAAGGGUUUUUUCUGGUGGGGGGUGGGCUCGCGGCCUAUCAGCUUGUUGGUGGGGUGAUGGCCUACCAAGGCUUUGACGGGUAGCCGGCCUGAGAGGGUGACCGGUCACAUUGGGACUGAGAUACGGCCCAGACUCCUACGGGAGGCAGCAGUGGGGAAUAUUGCACAAUGGGCGAAAGCCUGAUGCAGCGACGCCGCGUGAGGGAUGGAGGCCUUCGGGUUGUAAACCUCUUUCGCUCAUGGUCAAGCCGCAGCUUUGGGUUGUGGUGAGGGUAGUGGGUAAAGAAGCGCCGGCUAACUACGUGCCAGCAGCCGCGGUAAUACGUAGGGCGCGAGCGUUGUCCGGAAUUAUUGGGCGUAAAGGGCUUGUAGGCGGUUGGUCGCGUCUGCCGUGAAAUCCUCUGGCUUAACUGGGGGCGUGCGGUGGGUACGGGCUGACUUGAGUGCGGUAGGGGAGACUGGAACUCCUGGUGUAGCGGUGGAAUGCGCAGAUAUCAGGAAGAACACCGGUGGCGAAGGCGGGUCUCUGGGCCGUUACUGACGCUGAGGAGCGAAAGCGUGGGGAGCGAACAGG